rnacentral:rRNA from 1 species
UACAGAGGUGGCAAGCGUUGUUCGGAAUUACUGGGCGUAAAGGGCGCGUAGGCGGUCGGGCAAGUCCUGUGUGAAAUCCCUCGGCUCAACUGAGGAACUGCACGGGAAACUGCUCGACUUGAGUUCGGGAGAGGGAAGCGGAAUUCCGGGUGUAGCGGUGAAAUGCGUAGAUAUCCGGAGGAACACCGGUGGCGAAGGCGGCUUCCUGGACCGACACUGACGCUGAGGCGCGAAAGCCAGGGGAGCAAACGGGAUUAGAU